AGGUGCUGCACGGCUGUCGUCAGCUCGUGUCGUGAGAUGUUGGGUUAAGUCCCGCAACGAGCGCAACCCUCGUGUUUAGUUACUAACAGUUCGGCUGAGGACUCUAGACAGACUGCCUGGGUAACCAGGAGGAAGGUGAGGACGACGUCAAGUCAUCAUGGCCCUUACGGCCAGGGCUACACACGUGCUACAAUGGGGUAUACAAAGAGCCGCAAUACCGUGAGGUGGAGCAAAUCUCAUAAAAUAUCUCCCAGUUCGGAUAGCAGUCUGCAACUCGACUGCUUGAAGUUGGAAUCGCUAGUAAUCGUAGAUCAGCAAUGCUACGGUGAAUACGUUCCCGGGUCUUGUACUCACCGCCCGUCACACCAUGGGAAUUGAAUUCAUUCGAAGCGGGGAUGCUAAAAUAGCUACCUUCCACAGUGGAUUUAGUAACUAGGGUGAAGUCGUAACAAGGUA
rnacentral:rRNA from 1 species